rnacentral:piRNA from 2 species
ACUUUGAAUCCAGCGAUCCGAGU